UCCUGUACGAUCACUGAAGUUAAGCAACAUUGAGCCUCAUCAGUACCUAGAUGGGUGACCGCUUGGGAAUAUCAAGUUGU